GAACGCGGAAAAAGCCAAAGCCUUUUGGGACACGAACGAGCCAUGGGACGGAAGGUUACCUUUGUGUGGUCUAGCUUACAACGUCCCAAUCCAUGCCGGACGUUGCCAUGCAG
rnacentral:ribozyme from 1 species